rnacentral:piRNA from 1 species
UGUUUUGUGGUGUUUGCCUGUGCCUGAGGU